rnacentral:rRNA from 1 species
AUUGAACGCUGGCGGCAGGCUUAACACAUGCAAGUCGAGCGGUAACAGAGAGAAGCUUGCUCUUCUGCUGACGAGCGGCGGACGGGUGCGUAAUGCCUAGGAAUCUGCUUAGUAGUGGGGGAUAACUUGCCGAAAGGUAAGCUAAUACCGCAUACGUCCUACGGGAGAAAGGAGGGGACCUUCGGGCCUUUGGCCAUUAGAUGGGCCUAGGUCGGAUUAGUUAGUUGGUGAGGUAAUGGCUCACCAAGACCGCGAUCCGUAACUGGUCUGAGAGGAUGAUCAGUCACACUGGAACUGAGACACGGUCCAGACUCCUACGGGAGGCAGCAGUGGGGAAUAUUGGACAAUGGGGGGAACCCUGAUCCAGCCAUGCCGCGUGUGUGAAGAAGGUCUUAGGAUUGUAAAGCACUUUAAGUUGGGAGGAAGAGCAGUUAACUAAUAUUUGACUGUUUUGACGUUACCGACAGAAUAAGCACCGGCUAACUUCGUGCCAGCAGCCGCAGUAA